ACUCCUACGGGAGGCAGCAGUAGGGAAUCUUCCGCAAUGGGCGCAAGCCUGACGACGCAACGCCGCGUGGAGGAUGAAGGUCUUCGGAUUGUAAACUCCUGUUGCCCGGGACGAAUAGCUCCGACCUAACACGUCCGAGUCUGACGGUACCGGGUGAGGAAGCCCCGGCUAACUCUGUGCCAGCAGCCGCGGUAAU
rnacentral:rRNA from 1 species